CCUACGGGUGGCAGCAGUGGGGAAUAUUGGUCAAUGGACGAAACUCUGACCCAGCAACGCAGCGUGAAUGAUGAAGGUCUUCGGAUUUGAAAGUUCUUUUCUAAGAGAAGAAGAGAGUGACAGUACCUUCGUAAUAAGCCUCGGUUAACUACGUGCAAGCGGCCGCGCUAAUACGUAGGAGGCAAGCGUUAUCCGGAAUCACUGGGCGUAAAGGUUGCGUAGGUGGUUUGAUAAGUUGGUAGCGUAACUCCGAGGCUGAACCUUGGAACUACUACCAAUACUGUCGGACUUGAGUGCAGGAGGGGCAGCUGGAAUUCGUGGUGUAGCGGUGGAAUGCGUAGAUAUUAGGAGGAACCCCAGUGGCGAAGGCGAGUUGCUAGACUGUAACUGACACUGAGGCACGAAAGCGUGGGUAGCAAACAGGAUUAGAUACCCCUGUAGUC
rnacentral:rRNA from 1 species